rnacentral:lncRNA from 1 species
GAGCGGCAGGACCUGCCAAGGCCUGGGGGAGCCCGCCAGCCUGCUGAGUUCUACUGUACAAACAGUUGGGGAGGGGGCGCUGUCUCUGUUAACUUGAAAUUCCCCGAUCAGUAAACAUGCCAAUUUAAAGUGUAAUUAACUCAGGCCGGAAAAAAUUCAGAUUUGGACUGCUUUUCACAGUUGAGCGGCUGCUCUGCCUGGGAUAAACACAUUUCAAGAGUCUCAGUCCCCGCUUUGCCACCAUCUCCUCCUCUGAUCUCCUUUCCUGCUUCAAAAGACUCCAGAAUCUUCUCGGUUCUCAGAGAAGGCUGAAUCCACCUAUGACCUAGUGGGAGCACCCUGUGCCGAAACUGUUUACCUUCUGGUCCCCGGAGCCAUGGGUCAC